GCCUGGAUAGCUCAGUUGGUUAAAGAGUGGUACUGAUACUGUAAUGCCAAGGUUGCAUGUUUUAUCCCUGUAUGGGACA